rnacentral:rRNA from 1 species
CAGCAGCCGCGGUAAUACGGAGGGUGCGAGCGUUAAUCGGAAUUACUGGGCGUAAAGCGCGCGUAGGCGGUUUGUUAAGUCAGCUGUGAAAGCCCUGGGCUCAACCUGGGAACUGCAGUUGAUACUGGCCGACUAGAGUACGAGAGAGGGAGGUAAAAUUCCAUGUGUAGCGGUGAAAUGCGUAGAUAUAUGGAGGAAUACCAGUGGCGAAGGCGGCCUCCUGGCUCGAUACUGACGCUGAGGUGCGAAAGCGUGGGGAUCAAACAGGAUUAGAUACCCUGGUAGUCCACGCCGUAAACGAUGUCUACUAGCCGUUGGGAGACUUGAUUCCUUAGUGGCGCAGCUAACGCAAUAAGUAGACCGCCUGGGGAGUACGGCCGCAAGGUUAAAACUCAAAUGAAUUGACGGGGGCCCGCACAAGCGGUGGAGCAUGUGGUUUAAUUCGAUGCAACGCGAAGAACCUUACCAGGUCUUGACAUCCAGAGAACUUUCCAGAGAUGGAUGGGUGCCUUCGGGAACUCUGUGACAGGUGCUGCAUGGCUGUCGUCAGCUCGUGUCGUGAGAUGUUGGGUUAAGUCCCGUAACGAGCGCAACCCUUGUCCUUAGUUGCCAGCAGGUUAUGCUGAGAACUCUAAGGAGACUGCCGGUGACAAACCGGAGGAAGGUGGGGACGACGUCAAGUCAUCAUGGCCCUUACGACCUGGGCUACACACGUGCUACAAUGGAACGCACAGAGGGCAGCAAAGGCGCGAGCUGGAGCGAAUCCCACAAAACGUUUCGUAGUCCGGAUUGGAGUCUGCAACUCGACUCCAUGAAGUCGGAAUUGCUAGUAAUCGUGAAUCAGAAUGUCACGGUGAAUACGUUCCCGGGCCUUGUACACACCGCCCGUCACACCAUGGGAGUGGGUUGCAAAAGAAGUGGGUAGACUAACCUUCGGGAGGUCGCUCACCACUUUGUGAUUCAUGACUGGGGUGAAGUCGUAACAAGGUAACCGUA